CAGUCGAAUCGAAAUAUAUCUCAGUAAUUGGCAAGAAAAAUGCGUCUCCUAUCAACUCGUUUAUUGGUAACGCCAAGUCUCUGAUAACACAUUUGCUCCGACGGAUAAUUUUUAAUUCAAUAGCUCACAGUGUGCACCGAGCCAGCCCACUCCACUACAAUUUUGCAUUACUUUGCUUAUGCAAGUCAGUCAGUGCAUAAUCUACCUUCUCACUUUCAAAAUUUUACAACGACACCGGUCUCCUCUCCUCAUCAACUACAACUUGUUUUGCUGUUCUGCAAGUUACGCUUGUGGGGAUUUGAACGACAUUACUGCAAAUGCAAGAGUGUGACCGAUCAAACUCGGAUCGGCAAGACUCCAACGCACUUGUCACACUUUUGUUCAUUAUUAUAAUACUACGUCAAUAAAAAGAUAUAAGAAUUUUACCCAAAACUCCCUCAGUGAGAUUUCGAAAGUUGCUUUAUCUAAUGACACGUACCUAUGCUCCGCCUUUGCAAUUACGAAUGAGCAUAGGAAAUAGAAUUCUACAAAAAUAUGGAAUAUAGAUUUCUUUCGCCGUCCCGUUACACUCGCGGAAUCAUGAAUGUUUUGGGUCGCAAGAUGAACGGGCUCAUCGGCAAUCUCGACAACACCAAUAAAGACAGCUAUUAUGCGUUGUUGCACAAUCCGGACAAAAGUAAAUUUCUUUGGAGACGCAAGUUAAACAAGUGUAUAGCCUUAGUGCUGCUAUCAUAACAAAAAACAAAGAAAACGAGAGGGGGUUUGGAUCAAAUGAAACACUUCUUGCAAAUAAACUGGCAAUUGUUAAAGAAGCUACAUGUCCAACGAUUCUCUUGAAUCGCGGUAACUAAUUGAUAUUAAGCACUCCACGGUAGAACGUAUAACUCUUACGUUAGUAAAGAAUAAAAAUUAAAGUAUAAAAUGAUUUUGAAUUUUGUGACCACAUUGCAGAUCGCAAUCGUAAUAGUAACCACGUCUUAUUAACAACUAGUGAAACCUUUGAAAUGUAAUCGAAACUUUAUAUUUUUGUUAGAACCUGUAGUUCCUUAAUUUUUUCGCAACAUGAUGUCAGACCUUUUCUUUCUCAGCCAAGUUAUAUUUGUGAAAUAAUUUAAGAGAAUAUUUGUAAUCAAUUUAUGGGGGUUGUUAUGUCAGAGGACGGUUCCUCCCUUUUGUAAUUUAUUACAAUAAAGAAUAAAAAAACCGAUUCUCUUGCAACAAACAUUCAUUUCUAUACCAUUGAAAUUAUGGAUUAUAUGAUUAGUUACCUAUAGUUUACAGUUUUUGCAUAUUUUGACCGAACUCGAAAAUUCAAUUUUAUUCUGUAAUUUAGGAGAACUGGCCUGCCCACCGGUCCGCGCACAAGCUCUGAUAAAACAAACUCUGAAUCGACCGCUCUGACCCGUCUGUUCGGUUGAGCACCGAAAUUGAAUUUGACAGAAAUAAAUUAACCGGAAUGAAGCUAUAGUCAUAUCUUUGAUAAAA